AUUCCACUUCCAAUAACGUAUAUUAAAGUUGUUGCGGUUAAAAAGCUCGUAGUUGCAUUUCUGCCGAGGACGGCCGGUCCGCCCUCUGGGUGAGCAUCUGGCUCGGCCUGGGCAUCCUCUUGGAGAACGUAGCUGCACUUGAGUGUGUGGGGCGGUAUCCAGGACUUUUACCUUGAGGCAGCUAGAGUGCUUCAAGCAGGCAUACGCCUUGAAUACGUUAGCACGGAACAAAAAGAUAGGACCUCGGUUCUAUUUUGUUGGUGUCUAGAGCUGAGGUAAUAAUUGAUAGGGAUAGUUGGGGGCAUUCGUAUUUGACUGUCAGAGGUGAAAUUCUUGGACUUGUUAUAGACGGACUACUGCGAAAGCAGUUGUCAAGGAUGUUUUCAUCA
rnacentral:rRNA from 1 species